CAAAGUCUUCUCUUUGAUGAUUGCAUUUUUUCGAAUAGAGCGCUCGCGGGCAACCGCUCUUUUCGAAAUUUGCGCGGACGGCGCAGUAAAAUUCCGCAUUUACCUCUCUCUUGAACCAUCCUCUAAAUACUCAUCUCUUCCGCCGCUUCUUCUUCUUUGGGUGAAAAAGUUUCCUUUCCGGCAAAUCAUCUCCCGACGCACUCUGGCGCCCCUGCUUGUUCCUCCUCCAGGUGCAUUCUAGUGCACUCCAGUGACUUCCUCCCAUUCUUCAUCAACCGCGCCAGUCUUCUAAAUCCCGAUGGCAAUCCCUAUAGCCACCAUGGCCUUCGUCCCGGAGGUAGAUCUUCUGAUCCCCCCUUUUCUUUUAC
rnacentral:lncRNA from 1 species